rnacentral:rRNA from 1 species
AUUGAACGCUGGCGGCAGGCCUAACACAUGCAAGUCGAGCGGAUGAAGGGAGCUUGCUCCUGGAUUCAGCGGCGGACGGGUGAGUAAUGCCUAGGAAUCUGCCUGGUAGUGGGGGAUAACGUCCGGAAACGGGCGCUAAUACCGCAUACGUCCUGAGGGAGAAAGUGGGGGAUCUUCGGACCUCACGCUAUCAGAUGAGCCUAGGUCGGAUUAGCUAGUUGGUGGGGUAAAGGCCUACCAAGGCGACGAUCCGUAACUGGUCUGAGAGGAUGAUCAGUCACCCUGGAACUGAGACACGGUCCAGACUCCUACGGGAGGCCGAUGUGGGGAAUAUUGGAACAUGGGCGAAAGCCUGAUCCACCCAUGCCGGGUGUGUGAAGAAGGGUUUCGGAUUGUAAAGCACUUUAAGUUGGGAGGAAGGGCAGUAAGUUAAAACCUUGCUUUUUUGACGUUACCAAAAGAAUAAGCCCCGGCUAACUGCGG